rnacentral:rRNA from 1 species
AGAGUUUGAUCAUGGCUCAGGAUGAACGCUGGCGGUCUGCUUAACACAUGCAAGUCGAACGGAUUUAUUCCUUUCGGGGAAUAAAUUAGUGGCGGACGGGUGAGUAACGCGUGAGAAUCUACCUUUUGGACGGAGAUAACAGGAGGAAACUUCUGCUAAUCCCUGAUGAGCUAGCUUGCUAGUAAAAGAUUUAUCGCCAAGAGAUGAGCUCGCGUCCGAUUAGCUAGUUGGUGGAUUAAAAGUUUACCAAGGCGACGAUCGGUAGCUGGUCUGAGAGGACAAUCAGCCACACUGGGACUGAGACACGGCCCAGACUCCUACGGGAGGCAGCAGUGGGGAAUUUUCCGCAAUGGGCGAAAGCCUGACGGAGCAAGACCGCGUGGGGGAGGAAUGCCUUAGGGUUGUAAACCCCUUUUAUCUGGGAAGAACAAAAUGACGGUACCAGAUGAAUAAGCCUCGGCUAACUCCGUGCCAGCAGCCGCGGUAAUACGGAGGAGGCAAGCGUUAUCCGGAUUUAUUGGGCGUAAAGCGUCCGCAGGUGGCAGUUCAAGUCUGCUGUCAAAGACAGUGGCUCUACCACUGAAAGGCAGUAGAUACUGAACAGCUAGAGUGCGGUAGGGGCAGAGGGAAUUCCAGGUGUAGCGGUGAAAUGCGUAGAUUUCUGGAAGGACAUCGGUGGCGAAAGCGCUCUGCUAGGCCGCAACUGACACUCAGGGACGAAAGCUAGGGGAGCGAAUGGGAUUAGAUACCCCAGUAGUCCUAGCCGUAAACGAUGGAUACUAGGUGUUGCCUGUAUCGACCCAGGCAGUGCCGUAGCUAACGCGUUAAGUAUCCCGCCUGGGGAGUACGCACGCAAGUGUGAAACUCAAAGGAAUUGACGGGGGCCCGCACAAGCGGUGGAGUAUGUGGUUUAAUUCGAUGCAACGCGAAGAACCUUACCUGGACUUGACAUGUCGCGAAUCCCAAUGAAAGCUUGGAAUGCCUUCGGGAACGCGAAAACAGGUGGUGCAUGGCUGUCCUCACCUCCUGUCCCGAGAAGUUUGGGUUAAUUCCCCCAACAAGGGCAACCCUCCUUUUUUAUUUGCCAGCAAAUAUAAAUUUGGGCCCUCUAAAAAAACUGCCCGGUGACAAACCCGAAGAAAAUGUGGGGAUGAGUUCCAAUUCACCUCGGCCCUUUCUCUCAGGGGUGCACACCUUCUUCAAUGGUUCUGGAACAAAGGUGCCGG